UGUGUGGAGACCUGCUACAAGGUUAACAGGAAUUACAUACACACUGAAUGAGGGCAGGCUGGCAGGGCUGUACAGUAAGGUUUAGUAAUUUCUGUGCUGUUCAACAACUUCAGUACUUUGUGCUUCUGCUACUGGAUUAUCAUCUCUUCUGUUCAGCCACGAGCAUGAUGGGCAACUCUCCUUUAUUCAGCCAAUGGCCAGCUCCACUUCCAGAGUUUCUUCCACAUAGUGUCAAGUAAGACUUGCAGCCUCUUCCUGGGUUUCACCUGAAGGCCACUUGAUUUGCUUUACCCAUUCAGUCACAAGCUGCUAUGCAUCAGAAAUGGAUUACUGGGAGAAUGUCUGUUUGGGAGCUUCUCUGGAUAGAGGCCCUCUUGCAGCAGAAUCAGCAAGAAUGAAAAGUCCAGGAGCAGCUUCAAGCAAUUUUAGUAACCUAGACUUACACUGUGCAGAAAGGGUACCGCUUUUCUGUAGCACUCUGAUGUGACAGACUGGAAUUUCUGGGGCAGCUUCAGGAAAUUCUGAAUUUGGAAGAAAAGGAAAUUUUGGAAUUGCAGCAUUUGCCAUGAAAUGGAAACUCCAGAUUUCAGUCAGUUCUCUAGUAAUGGCAAAGAACAUUGAAGCUCAGGUUCCACAUUUCUUGCUGUCAAAAUUCCCUCUCUUGUAUCCUUCUUCCCCUUUCCACUCUUCCCCAAAAGUGUCGUAAUUCUUUUAAAAGAAUGGCAAAGGAUAUGUGGGGUGGAAGGGUAGGGGGAUGCUUUUGAUGGCUUCACAAGUUGCUGGACUAUAACUUUUUAGAUGCAGAUAGUGCAGGAUAUUGAUCUCACAACAAAGUCCACAUUUCUUGGUUCUUUUGUCUGCAUUGCUUUGGCAGUUAUUUUCUAUUAAAAAUGAUUACAUAAAUAAAAAUCAAACAAAAAAGUUGAAAUGGAACAGUUAAAAUGAGAUGUUUUGACUUUAUCGAAAUAAAGCAUUUUGAUUGUUUCAAAAUAAAAAA